rnacentral:rRNA from 1 species
UGGGGAAUUUUGGACAAUGGGGGAAACCCUGAUCCAGCCAUCCCGCGUGUGCGAUGAAGGCCUUCGGGUUGUAAAGCACUUUUGGCAGGAAAGAAACGUCAUGGGUUAAUACCCCGUGAAACUGACGGUACCUGCAGAAUAAGCACCGGCUAACUACGUGCCAGCAGCCGCGGUAAUACGUAGGGUGCAAGCGUUAAUCGGAAUUACUGGGCGUAAAGCGUGCGCAGGCGGUUCGGAAAGAAAGAUGUGAAAUCCCAGAGCUCAACUUUGGAACUGCAUUUUUAACUACCGGGCUAGAGUGUGUCAGAGGGAGGUGGAAUUCCGCAUGUAGCAGUGAAAUGCGUAGAUAUGCGGAGGAACACCGAUGGCGAAGGCAGCCUCCUGGGAUAACACUGACGCUCAUGCACGAAAGCGUAGGGAGCAAACAGG